UACGGAGGGUGCAAGCGUUGUCCGGAAUCACUGGGCGUAAAGGGCGCGUAGGCGGCUCAUGAAGGCUGUGGUGAAAGCCCGGGGCUCAACUCCGGAAUUGCCUUUAAAACUGCAUCGCUAGAAUUGUGGAGAGGUAAGUGGAAUUCCGAGUGUAGAGGUGAAAUUCGUAGAUAUUCGGAAGAACACCAGUGGCGAAGGCGACUUACUGGACACAUAUUGACGCUGAGGUGCGAAAGCGUGGGGAGCAAACAGGG
rnacentral:rRNA from 1 species